rnacentral:misc_RNA from 1 species
UUUCUUGCUUAAAUCUAUUUUAUUGGUACCUAGUAAAGAUUACUUCUUGUUAGUUUCAAACUCCCCUUACUUUUUAAUUGUUUAAGAGCAUAUCUCUGCCUUGUGAAAUGAGAACAUGCUGGAAGAUCUAUUUUAGAAAGUUAAUUAGACUAGUAAUUUUUGUUGAAUUUUCUCUUUCCACAUUUGUAAUUAUUGGUGUUCAAGUGACGCAAAUUUUAAUUGUUUUGCUAGGUGAAUGGCUAUCUGGUUCAGCAGGGAUGGGCUUUACUCCACAUAUCAUCACCAUUGCAGUAGGAGAA